CCAUGUUCCAUCCCUGGGUUGGGAAGAUCCCAUGGAGAAGGGAAUGGCUACCCACUCCAGUAUUCUUGCCGGGAGAAUCCCACGGACAGAGCAGCCUGGAGGGCUACAUCCAUGGGGUUCACAAAGGGUCAGAGUCGACUGAUUGACUAAGCACAUGUGAAGCCCAGAGCCUGUUAUACAGAGUGAAGUAAGUUGGAAAGAAAAAACAAGCAUUGUUUAUUAAUGCAUAUAUAUGGAAUCUAGAAAAAUGGUACUGAUGAGCCUAUCUGCAGGGCAGAAAUGGAGAUGCACAUGUAUAGAAUGGACUUGUCUACUGCGUUUUUAAAUAACUUGAACUUCAGACUUUUCUGUUCCUUUUUUUGUUUUAAAAUGGAAUGUGCUAUGAGAAAGUGCUCAAGACAUUUUUUGUGAAAAGGUAUUGCAAAGCAAUGUGUUUAAUAUCAGAUGUUUUUGUUUAAAAAGUACAUAUUUGCUUAGACAAUAAACUAGCAGAAUAUACAUCAAAAUGUAGCAGACACUGCUGUUAGUGUUGUUCAUAGUUGUUUAUAAUGAACAAGUGUUAGCUCUGUAACAUUUUAAUUUUAAUCAGAAGUGUAGACAUAGUAUUAUCCAUAUUUUAACAGUGACAUAGGCAUGGAAACCAGGUUACCAAAGAAACUUUUUUCUCCUCAUUUUAUGUCCAUCUUGCUAAGGUAAUCCUUUAAAAUGUUUCAUUUUGUGAGUUUGGGGAGUGGAUUAGAAUUUAUGGCAAUGCAAAUGGGGCCAAAGCAAAAAUAUUUUAAAAAUCUCUAUGGGAAUCAUCCUUUCCAGCCAUUCAUUAUUUUAGUAGAUGUAGGGAUUGGCAAAAAUUCUCCCCCUAAUUGAACAGGUAACAGUCUAUAAGCAAUUGCCAUCUCAACAUCUUAAAUCCUUGGACUUCAUGGCAUUUAAAAUUUUUAAUUGAAUUAAUUUUUGUUUUUCCUUAUGUGGAGGUGUUCUUGAGGCUGGGUCAUCCCCUUAGAAACUAGGUACAACCCAUUUCUAGAGGCAUGGCUGGCAAUGAAUUUGUCCUCACGGGUAUAGUUGGCCAGCCCUGUCUCCUUCCCUGCCAUUCCCCGGCCUCUGCCAGACAUGGGGCCCGGCGAUCUGACACCCAAGGGGCAAGGAUACUACCUCCUCCCUCCGUCCUUCUCAUCCCACUUCCAACUGUAACCUUAUUAUCAGUCCAUCCACCCAUCCAUUCACCCCUUCCCUCCCCCACUCCCCGAAGGCCCACAGUCUGGACGGCAACACUAGUCCCAAGGGAAAGGUGGGCAUCUUACUGCGUUUUUAUUUUAGAAACUCAGCAGUCCUUUCUCAAUAUCUUAGGGCCAUUGUGCUUAAGUUUCCGUAAACAGUCUUUUCGAGGCCUGCACGGUACACUGUUCUGUGAUUCCUAAAUCCAGACUGCCUGUGAAAACUUACCAUCAUCCAACCAAUGGCAGAGCCUUAGGACUGGCGAGAACCUUGUGGGGUGGGGUCCCCAAGACAAAACGGUCGCAGCCUAGGCUCGCGCCUUCUCUUGCUAGGGGCGCCGAGGGGUGCGCGCAGACCCAGAGGAACCCAGGGCGCCCAGCAGGCGACCCCAAGUCCCACCGCAGGAGGGGAGAGAAGUCGCACCUGUGGGUCUAGGAGCCGCAUCUUGGGGGAGUGCUCUGGUCUUGGGCCGGUGCCAUCUUCCUGGUGUCCCGAACUGCACCUAACACGGAUGAGGAUGGACGAGGAGAGCGCUUCCCCCUGCGAAGCCUGGAGCCGGGUUCUUUAUACCCGUUGCUCCGGGUGUGGGUUUCCCCAGCCUCUGCGCGGUCCAACAGGGGCCUUGGGCGGGGAACACGCCCACCAGCCCUUUAUCCUUGCCCGUUGCUGCUUGGGAACUUGUAUUAGGAGUUGGUGAUCGAAAUUGUUCUCCCAAAUGGGGGAAAUUAUCCAGAAGUAAAAUAAGAAAAAUAUAACUAAACAAUGAGGUUGCCACUCGCUCAGGUUUCAGACCUAUCUGAGCUCGGCCCUUCUUUUCCCCUCACAGGUCCUCGAACUCAAUUGAUUUCUCCAUUACCUAGGAUCAUGCCCCAUUAGUCAUUCACCUUCAGUCGCUAGGCCAGACCCCCAAGAGUUCCAUCCAAUGCCCAAAUAUUUGUCAAAGGCCAAGGAUACAAGAUUAUUGAAUGAGGAUUAUUGAAUGACUAUAAAAUGUGACCUCCAGUGUGAUACACACCCAGUGGUUAUAUAUCUGAACAAAAUAUGACAUUUUCCGAUACUAACUCUGCAUGUGUGUGUGUGUGUUCAGAAUGAACUUUGCCCUUAUAUCCAAACAUGCCUUACAGUUUCUAAUGAUAUCUUUGCAGUAUUUGACAAGGACAAACACUUGAUAUUUAUAUAUGAUAGUGGAAAUGUACUUUGUAGACUUAAAAAUUCAGUGUGAAAACUGUGUUUAAAAAUGAAAAGCAUUAGAGAAACCGAAGGAAAACAGAAAUGUUUAACAGUAGUCAUCUGUUGAUGUUAGAGUUAGGUCUUGUUUUUAUUUUAUUCAUUAUGCUUUUCUGUAUUUGCCAAAAUUUCUUUACAGUGGGAACAUACUUUAAAAUAAUGGAAACAUUACUUUUAAAAGUGUAUAACAUGACAAUAAAUAACAUAAAGAACAACA